UGGGGAAUAUUGGGCAAUGGAGGGAACUCUGACCCAGCCAUGCCGCGUGCAGGAUGAAGGCGUUAUGCGUUGUAAACUGCUUUUAUAUAGGAAGAAAUAGUCCUUGCGAGGAAAGUUGACGGUACUAUAUGAAUAAGCACCGGCUAACUCCGUGCCAGCAGCCGCGGUAAUACGGAGGGUGCAAGCGUUGUCCGGAUUUAUUGGGUUUAAAGGGUGCGUAGGCGGUUUAUUAAGUCAGUGGUGAAAGACGGUCGCUCAACGAUUGCAGUGCCAUUGAUACUGGUAGACUUGAGUAUGAUUGAGGUAGCUGGAAUGGAUAGUGUAGCGGUGAAAUGCAUAGAUAUUAUCCAGAACACCAAUUGCGUAGGCAAGUUACUAAGUCAUAACUGACGCUGAGGUACGAAAGCGUGGGGAGCAAACAGGAUUAGAUACCCCAGUAGUCCCUGAGCGGGCUGGCAAGGCGCAU
rnacentral:rRNA from 1 species